rnacentral:rRNA from 1 species
AGAGUUUGAUUCUGGCUCAGAACGAACGCUGGCGGCGUGGAUAAGACAUGCAAGUCGAACGGUGACUAAAAGGUAGUAAUAUUUUUUAGUUAUAGUGGCGAAAGGGUGCGUAACACGUGGGUAAUCUGCCGUAAUGUUUGGAAUAACUUGCCGAAAGGUAAGCUAAUACCGGAUGUGGAACUCUUGAGGCAUCUUAAGAGUUCCAAAGCUGGGGACCGCAAGGCCUGGCGCAUUAUGAUGAGCCCGCGGCCUAUCAGCUUGUUGGUGAGGUAAUGGCUCACCAAGGCUAAGACGGGUAGCCGGUCUGAGAGGACGGUCGGCCACACUGGAACUGAGACACGGUCCAGACACCUACGGGUGGCAGCAGUCGAGAAUCAUUCACAAUGGGGGAAACCCUGAUGGUGCGACGCCGCGUGGGGGAUGAAUGGCUUCGGUCAGUAAACCCCUGUCAUUAGUGAACAAACCUUUUAGGGUAAUACCUUAAAAGCUGAUAGUAGCUAAAGAGGAAGGGACGGCUAACUCUGUGCCAGCAGCCGCGGUAAUACAGAGGUCCCAAGCGUUGUUCGGAUUCACUGGGCGUAAAGAGUGCGUAGGUGGCUAGGUAAGUUUGAUGUGAAAGCUCCGAGCUCAACUCGGAAAUUGCAUUGAAAACUGCUUGGCUAGAGGGUCGGAAGGGAGACUGGAAUUUUCGGUGUAGCAGUGAAAUGCGUAGAUAUCGAGAGGAACACCAGUGGCGAAGGCGAGUCUCUGGACGAAUCCUGACACUGAGGCACGAAAGCUAGGGGAGCAAACAGGAUUAGAUACCCUGGUAGUCCUAGCCGUAAACGGUGCACACUUGCUAUGAGCGGAUUCGACCCCGUUCGUGGCGUAGCUAACGCGUUAAGUGUGCCGCCUGGGGAGUACGGUCGCAAGAUUAAAACUCAAAGAAAUUGACGGGGGCCUGCACAAGCGGUGGAGUAUGUGGCUUAAUUCGAUGCAACGCGAAGAACCUUACCUGGCCUUGACAUGCUUGUGGUAAAACCCUGAAAGGGGAAUGACCUCGCAAGAGGAGCUUGCACAGGUGCUGCAUGGCUGUCGUCAGCUCGUGUCGUGAGAUGUUGGGUUAAGUCCC